rnacentral:ncRNA from 1 species
AAGCUUGGCUCUGACUUAAUAGUAUAGCAGGAACUUAGAGAUACACAUGGUUUUUAUAGGAAGAGGCGAGGUAAAAAAUAGUAUAUUUAUAACAAAAAGUUGUGGAAUAAUAUUUUUUUGGGUAUUAUUAACUCUCAUGAUGCCUUGAAAAGUCCCGCUAACACCAGUGCUGAAGGUUAAGAAAAAGACGAAAGUUUGUCUUAACUUAGUUCAUAAGAUUUGGUCAAUUUGGUGCCAGCAUCCGCGGUUAUACCAAGAAAUCGAGUUAUGUUGUUUGGUAAAAAGACGGUUAGACUUUAAUUCUAUUAGUCUAUUAAUCAUUUAUAUAAAGGUAGAAUUUGAAUAUAAAUACAUAAACUAUACAUGACCUAUAAAGUUGAAUCCGUGAAAGCCUCGAGGGAAACUGGGAUUAGAUACCCCAUUAUUCUUGGCUAUAAAAUCAAAAAAAUUUACCGGGGUACUACGAACUUAAUAAAAUUUAAAACUCAAAGGGCUUGGCGGUGUUUUAGACCUCUCAGGGGAACCUGUCUCGUAAUCGACAAUCCACGAUAGACCUAACCCUGUUUUGCACUCAGUUUGUAUACCGUUGUCGUCAGGUAACUUUCAAAAAAAUAAGAAGUUAGCGAUUAAAAUGAACUAUAAAUUAAGACGUCAAAUCAAGGUGCAGCUCACAACAGGGGGAGGAUGGGUUACAAUUAUAAAUUCAUAAAAACGGAAAAUGCAUUGAAUAAUGUACUUGAAGGAGGACUUGAAAGUAAAAUAAAAUACAUAAACGAUUUGAAUAAGGCUCUGAAACGUGCACACAUCGCCCGUCACUCUCGUUGAAAAAUGAGAUAAGUCGUAACAUAGCAGGGGUAAUGGAAAUUGUUCCUAGAU